GCCGGGAUGGCGGAAUGGCAGACGCUCCGGUCUCAAAAACCGGUGUCCGAAAGGGCGUGAGGGUUCGAAUCCCUCUCCCGGCA
rnacentral:tRNA from 1 species